GAUGAACGCUGGCGGCGUGCCUAAUACAUGCAAGUCGAGCGAACGGACGAGAAGCUUUCUUCUCUGAUUUUAGCGGCGGACGGGUGAGUAACACGUGGAUAACCUACCUAUAAGACUGGGAUAACUUCGGGAAACCGUAGCUAAUACCGGAUAAUAUUUUGAACCGCAUGGUUCAAAAGUGAAAGACGGUCUUGCUGUCACUUUUAGAUGAAUCCGCUCGGCAUUAGCUAGUUGGUAAGGUAACGGCUUACCAAGGCAACGAUGCAUAGCCGACCUGAGAGGGUGAUCAGCCACACUGGAACUGAGACACGGUCCAGACUCCUACGGGAGGCAGCAGUGGGGAAUCUUGCGCAAUGGGCGCAAGCCUGACGCAGCAACGCCGCGUGUAUGAUGAAGGUCUUCGGAUCGUAAAACUCUGUUAUCAGGGAGGAACAUAUGUGUAAGUAAAUGUGCACAUCUUGACGGUACCUAAUCAGAAAGCCACGGCUAACUCCGUG
rnacentral:rRNA from 1 species